CAGUAGCCGCGGUAAUACAGAGGGUGCGAGCGUUAAUCGGAUUUACUGGGCGUAAAGCGUGCGUAGGCGGCUUUUUAAGUCGGAUGUGAAAUCCCUGAGCUUAACUUAGGAAUUGCAUUCGAUACUGGGAAGCUAGAGUAUGGGAGAGGAUGGUAGAAUUCCAGGUGUAGCGGUGAAAUGCGUAGAGAUCGGGAGGAACAUCAGUGGCGAAGGCGGCCAUCUGGGACAACACUGACGCUGAGGCACGAAAGCGUGGGGAGCAAACAGGAUUAGAUACCCCUGUAGUCCCUGUCUCUUAUAC
rnacentral:rRNA from 1 species